rnacentral:rRNA from 1 species
UACGAAGGGGGCUAACGUUGCUCGGAAUCACUGGGCGUAAAGCGCACGUAGGCGGAUCGUUAAGUCAGGGGUGAAAUCCUGGAGCUCAACUCCAGAACUGCCUUUGAUACUGGCGACCUUGAGUUCGGGAGAGGUGAGUGGAACUGCGAGUGUAGAGGUGAAAUUCGUAGAUAUUCGCAAGAACACCAGUGGCGAAGGCGGCUCACUGGCCCGAUACUGACGCUGAGGUGCGAAAGCGUGGGGAGCAAACAGG